AAACGAGCGACUUCCCUCCUCUCUCUCUCUCUUCUAUUUCCUCCCUCGCCCAGCCCAGCGCCGCCGCCAUCGCCUCCUCGCCCAGCCAAGCACCGAUGCCAUCGCCGCCUCCUCUCCGAGCGCCGCCGCCGCCGCCUCCUCUCCCAGCACCGCCGCCGACGCCAUAACCCCUUCCCCUAUAUCCCAUGGGGUCGGGGUGAGCACCGUCGACCCCAUCGUUUGUCCUCUGCCCACGCAAGUCCGUUCACCUCGGCCUCCUCCUGUGUCGUCGUCGGCCCAGCAGAGGCGGUCGAGCCGUUGAGCGUAGGGAUCUAGGCGGGGAAGAGCUGCAGCCGACCGCCAAGGGGGAGGGGCCCAAGGAUAGGCCUGCGCUGGCGGUGGCGAUGACGGAGGCGGAGGUGCAAGUGAAGGAGCAGGACGGAGGUGUGGUGGACAAGGCCGCCAUGGCCGCCUUUGACACAGCGCCUGCAUCUUCAUCCACUGCCUCUCUGCCAUGUGUCUUCUGAUUACCACAAUAACACAAUUUCCUUAUUCAUGCUUUACGGAUUCUUGCUGGAGGAGAUGAACUUUUAUGGCUGAUGCUGUUGUUAUUAUAGAGGAGCUGUUCAAGGCCAAGGUUUUCCUUGUGAGAAUGCCAUAAUUACAAGAAAAGAUUGCCUGAAAGGUCUUUAUGGAGAUGCACUCACUCGGUUAGAGGGCCUACCGAGGCUAGCGCGAGGUCUGCUAUGGCAUCGAUGAUGUAGGUGUCAUGACUGUGAGGACUGCUCACACUUCUCCGCUCACAAACCGUGUGGCAGAGUAAAUACUCCGGUCCACGACAAUUAGACCUUCCUCCCUCUCAGCUAUGGUGCCACAAAGUGCCCAGGCAGCAGGAAGCACAUAUAAAACCAUUGAUGCUCUUUUCCGUAGGAGAAAUAAGUGAACGGGCAAUCUUUUCAUCUCUGUAUAAAUUCAGAUGUGAUUAGCCAGGUCCAGAAGUUGGAUUCUUGAUGUGCACAUAAAUACGUUGAGAAGAUGGAACUAGAAUUAAGCUUCCGUCCAUCUGCAGGUCACGGCUAACGUCAUCAAGCAUCAACAUCAAGAAACAAGCAGCCAACAGAAUGCAGCAAAGCAGCUAGCGGCAGCAAGCAGCAAACAACAUCAGCAGCAUGCAGCCAGCAACAUGCAGAGGCGAUUUCUCACCUUGCUGUUAGUGCCGAGGUCGGGCGGAGCAGAGCAACGAGCUCCACACAGUGGCAAUGAUGGUCAGCGUCGAGGAAGAAUUAGGAGGGACCCAUGGCUUCGAAUGCCGAGGUCGGGCGGAGCAGAGCAACGAGCACCACACAGCGGCAAUGACGGUCAGCGUUGAGGAAUAAGUAGGAGGGACCCAUGGCGUGGUCCAGGGGAGACGUGGACAACGCGGAGCCCAUCACGGUCUGUCGAGCUGUUCGGUGAGGAGGAUGACCGCAGCGGCGACCGACGGAACCGAAGAAGGCAGCCUCGGUCCAAGAGGUUCCUGCGCGCUGGCACCCGGAAUCACCAUUAAAGGGACGACAGGAGCAACAUUAAUGAAGCUAGGAGUCUACUAGGAGCAAGAAUGCACCAGAAAUACGAGGUGGUUCCCGGCGGUGUCCAGCGGGCAUGCAUGUCAGAGCCAGAGGUGUGGACGUCGAUCCCGACCGAGGGCUGGUGUAUCCGGCCGAUUCAUUCGGUUGACGUUGCAACAGCGACUGGCAUCCCCGGCGAGCUGGACGAGAAAGGGGAUCUAGGAGGGAAAUGAAGUGAGGGAAGCAACGGGGCAGAGUAGGAGAAAAGGUGAAGGGGCAGGGGUUUGCCGGCGCGUGUCCCUGCGAGAUGGUGAUGUGGGCGUGGUGGUUCAGUAGUGGGGGCCGGUGGCAGCUGUCUUCCACCAUGUAUGCUGAAGGCAUUCCAUCUAAAACAACAUUGAGUGCGUGCUUAGAUCAGGUAAGACAAUGGCAAGAAUAAAUCCACCUAUCUGACUUUCCUCUAGGCAUUUCAAUUUGUCAGGAGCUGAAAUAUUGUGACCCGUGUUCAUUUAUGUGUUGCUAACUUUACAAGCGGCAAUCACACACUGCUUACACCAUGUACUAUUGGAUUGACGCACUUCCUUGAGCUCUAUGCGGUGCACC
rnacentral:rRNA from 1 species